AAAGCGUGGGGAGCGAACAGGAUUAGAUACCCUGGUAGUCCACGCCGUAAACGGUGGGUACUAGGUGUGGGUUUCCUUCCUUGGGAUCCGUGCCGUAGCUAACGCAUUAAGUACCCCGCCUGGGGAGUACGGCCGCAAGGCUAAAACUCAAAGAAAUUGACGGGGGCCCGCACAAGCGGCGGAGCAUGUGGAUUAAUUCGAUGCAACGCGAAGAACCUUACCUGGGUUUGACAUGCACAGGACGCCAGUAGAGAUAUUGGUUCCCUUGUGGCCUGUGUGCAGGUGGUGCAUGGCUGUCGUCAGCUCGUGUCGUGAGAUGUUGGGUUAAGUCCCGCAACGAGCGCAACCCUUGUCUCAUGUUGCCAGCACGUAAUGGUGGGGACUCGUGAGA
rnacentral:rRNA from 1 species